GUUUUAUAAUCAAACUUCUUUUUUUUCCAAUAUAACUUUAAAACCAAACAUUAUCUUGGUUUGUAGACAAGUGUGUUUAAUUGUAGCUUGCUUUGUGUUUGGCCAUUUUUUGUUCUGAAAGCACAGGCAGUGGCUUGGUGCUGUGGCAAAUGUGGCUUUACAUCUGACAACUGCUGUUAAAACAUGUUAUGAUCACAUGACACAGUUAUCUGCAAGGUUAACAGCCUGUCACUUUACAUUCAUGGGGGAAGAAAAAGUGGAUUAAAGCCAAAGCUCCUGGUGAGGAUAUGAAGGAAUUCAGGAUGACAGUUUCAGUGUCUUAUCCAAACAGACGUGUAUUGGAAAAGGACUAGAGAAAUGGUGACAGCAGAUUCAGGACUAUCCUGAUAGUGAUUCCAAAUCUUCCAAGGAAGAAAAUGGAGGGGGUGAAUAUGCUAGGAAGAAUAUGAAGAAAAACUUGGAAGCAGUCAUUGCAGGG
ensembl:lncRNA